CGUCCCGUCUCGCCCGUCCCGCUCGCCGUCUUCUCUCCCCUUCCCAGCCGCUCGCCCGCCUCCCUGCCCCGCCGGCCGCCGCCGUCACUCGCCCAGGCACCCGCCCGCACUCGCGCCGCCGUCGUCGCCCCCUCUCCUCUUCCUCCCGCCCGUGCCUCACCGCGGCUUCCUCCCGGCUCCUCGUCCGCGGCCUCGACGGCGCCCUCCUCUUCCCUACCUCGAGGGCACGGAGAUGCUGACGGAGAAGCCCGGCUGGGUUCGCCAUGACGGCCUGCAGAUCUUCUCCAUCAACAUCCAGCCGAGCGGCCUCCGCUUCGCCACGGGAGGUGGUGACCAGAAGGAGGCAGAGAGGGAGAUGGGGUGGUAAGAAGAGAGGGUGAGGAAGGAGGAAGAGGAGAUCCUCCCGGCACUCAUGGUGGUCGCCCAGAUCCCAGCGGGGAUGGCAGUCCAACAUGCUCUGUGUUGUUCUAAAGGGGAACCAUGCCCAUGCGACGGUACCGAACAAAGUUGUGCACGUGGUCGUGGACACUCUACGCGAAAGAAAUUUGUAUAAAUAUACAAUGCUCUUUUUGAAGACUCCUGGGAUGAUAUUGGAAGGAACUCGAGCGGAAGGCCGCCGGACAUGGAAGAAAUGAGCCCAAGCCCAAUCAAUUGGAUGCUUCAGUGGAUUUGAAUGGGGUUCAUUGUAGGCGAGUGCUUGAAUUGCGGCCUCACAUGCAUCAUUAGCUUCCCUUAUCCCACACAAGUAUUCUUCGUGAGAACUAUGCUUAGAUAGCUGAAUGUAUUAUUGUGAACUACUGAACCUUUGCACUUUUGUUGUAACAUACUGAACAUUUGCACCAUUGCUUUUCAUUGUAUAAAUGUAUGAAAUAAAAAAAAUGUCUCAUACCAGGUUGGAUAUUGCGGGGGCGGGUGGGGUGCGGCAAAGAUUAAUAUGCAUAAAGUGUGAGGUGUACAGAAACCUGCACCUUAUACUCCUGUCUUGCUUUUGCUAACUAUAUGAAAUAGACUGAACCUGAACCUGACUACAAUUGAAUGUCUAAGCUGAAUUGUUGCAUCCGUAGACAUGGAAUUAUGGAUCAAUUUUAGCUCUCAAGAACUGCAUACUUAUGGUCCUAUGCAAUCCCAAUUUAUUCAGGCAAGCAUCCCAAAAGUUCACUAAUGAACAAAGCAACAUCACACAGAAUCUAAGUUUUAGGCCAGGUUACUGUAAUGUAUUUUUAAAGAUGUACAUUAGAGAAAUUGUUCAGCCAACAAUCCAAUUAAAUUUGUGUGCAGCUAUAUAUAUAUUUACUAAUCAAUCUUUUCCCUUCUCUCUAUCUAAUUUUAACAUUGCACAAUGAUUUACUUCUUGUUUGUAGCUUACACUGAAAUCUAAGCUUGUGUGCAUGUAUGUAUUAUGAACCAGCCCUGUCCAUUGCCUUACUGGAUACAUAAGUCUCUCCAUUGCUGUUGUCGGAUGGGUUUAUGUUUGCUGUUGUCGGAUGGGUUUAUAUUUGCUAUUAUUUUCUGUCUUGGUUAGGAACCAUGUGCUAUAAUGCACCAAUGCUGCUUUCGGAUGACGACGACAAUGCCAAACGCACCAUCACCUGAGAUGAUUGGUGGGCAGAAUUAAAGAGGGAUUACCAAGUAAGGAAAUACACCUGAGCAAGCAGUUAGACCCAAGCGGAGUUUUAAAAUCAAAACGGGGCAAUUCUCUACUGUGACAAAGUGAAGAGAAAACUGAUGCAUCAAAUUAAUACAGAAAUUCAGUUCAUAUGAAGCAGAAGAAAGGCAUACAGUACCUUACAUUGACAGUGAUUGUUAGCCCAUUGUGGUACUUCAAAUCUGAUAAAGAAUAUAUUUCAUGACCGAGACAUGACAUUUGGAGAAUCUCAGUUCUAAUAUCUACAUGAAUCAACUUUUAUUUUGUCAUGCUACUGAAUGUUCUGAUAUGGGACUAUCUAUUCUGUGUAUCUCUUAUAAGUAAUAAUGAAAUGAUCUAUAUAUAAAGUUUUCCUAUUUUGAUUAUAUUAUGUUUUCGAUGAUGCAUGGUUCUUGAAUUUGGAGAUUAACAUUUAGGCUUUUGAUAUUUUGAACCUUUUUGCUUUGUACUGAACUUGAUGCAAACCAGUUUGUCUUAUCUGGCACUGCCACUCAGUAUUUUUGGAACAAAUUUUGUCAUGUGCUUGCAAAUUAAUUACCCUAUUGACU
rnacentral:rRNA from 1 species